GACGAACGCUGGCGGCGCGCCUAACACAUGCAAGUCGAACGAGCGAGAGAGAGCUUGCUUUCUUGAGCGAGUGGCGAACGGGUGAGUAACGCGUGAGGAACCUGCCUCAAAGAGGGGGACAACAGUUGGAAACGACUGCUAAUACCGCAUAAGCCCACGGUGCCGCAUGGCACAGAGGGAAAAGGAGCAAUCCGCUUUGAGAUGGCCUCGCGUCCGAUUAGCUAGUUGGUGAGGUAACGGCCCACCAAGGCGACGAUCGGUAGCCGGACUGAGAGGUUGAACGGCCACAUUGGGACUGAGACACGGCCCAGACUCCUACGGGAAGCAGCAGUGGGGAAUAUUGCACGAUGGGGGAAACCCUGAUGCAGCGACGCCGCGUGGAGGAAGAAGGUCUUCGGAUUGUAAACUCCUGUUGUUGGGGAAGAUAAUGACGGUACCCAACAAGGAAGUGACGGCUAACUACGUG
rnacentral:rRNA from 1 species